rnacentral:snoRNA from 1 species
AAAAAAGCAGGGUUCUGUCGUUGUUUUAUAUGGACAUAUCUCUUGUGUGCUUCAGGUAGAUAUCUCUUGUUUUUGUGUGUGUCUGUUUUCAAUUGACAUGUAAUAUGACUCAAUACACAAUACUAUAUUC